AUGAACGCUGGCGGCGUGCCUAAUACAUGCAAGUCGAGCGAACGGACGAGAAGCUUGCUUCUCUGAUGUUAGCGGCGGACGGGUGAGUAACACGUGGAUAACCUACCUAUAAGACUGGGAUAACUUCGGGAAACCGGAGCUAAUACCGGAUAAUAUUUUGAACCGCAUGGUUCAAAAGUGAAAAACGGUCUUGCUGUCACUUAUAGAUGGAUCCGCGCUGCAUUAGCUAGUUGGUAAGGUAACGGCUUACCAAGGCAACGAUGCAUAGCCGACCUGAGAGGGUGAUCGGCCACACUGGAACUGAGACACGGUCCAGACUCCUACGGGAGGCAGCAGUAGGGAAUCUUCCGCAAUGGGCGAAAGCCUGACGGAGCAACGCCGCGUGAGUGAUGAAGGUCUUCGGAUCGUAAAACUCUGUUAUUAGGGAAGAACAUAUGUGUAAGUAACUGUGCACAUCUUGACGGUACCUAAUCAGAAAGCCACGGCUAACUACGUG
rnacentral:rRNA from 1 species